GCUGGGGUUGAUUCUGAGAAUCCUUAGGUUUAAGUACAGGACAAGUACAUGAGAGCUCUGUCCCAGGGCAUUUGCAAGGGUCAUCUGAAUCUCGGUGAUUCAGGACGGAGAGCUUGACCAUCUAAAAGGAAACCUCUAUUCAUACUGUCCAAGACACCGAAGACAGCCUCUCCCAGGUUACCCUGAAAAAGUCCUUGAAGUCACCUUGGUUCACCUUGCUACAAGGUUCAAGAGCCAGGUACUCAGAUACUCUGCCUUUAUCUCCACAAGAGGUUUCUCACUUUGGAACAUGGAGUUCCCAAGUCAGGUUUUCUCUGUGUAGCCCUGACUAUCCUGGAAUUCCCUCAGUACACCAGGCUGGCAAGUAACUCAUGGAUCCACCUGCCUAUGUUGCUGGAAGUAAAGGUGUGCACCUCCACCACAAGGCUUCUUCAAGGCAUUUGCAAUCAUUCAACUACCAAAUGUGGAGAGUCUAGUGACCAUCCCCAGGCACCAGGCACAGGGAUAGCAGCUAAUGGGAAGCAGGCCCAGUAGCCCAAGGGAACAAAGUUCAGAGGGGCAGGAGGAAUACAUGUAGACACUCUACACAGCAGGGGUGAUGUGAUGGGCCCCUGAGCCCUGUAGAAUGGAGAAAAGUAUGGGGGAAUUAAAGAGUAGAGGCCAGUGGCUAAGCUGCUCUAACCCUGAGGAUACCAUAGCAAUCUCUCCUAAGGUAUUCAGAGCAAAGGAUUCCUUGGCCCCUAGCACCUAAAAUAGACAGCAUGGACAGCCAUAACCCCGUGGGUGUGAGGGACGUGGGAAGGGAAUCAGCCAUGUUUGGAUUCUUUUCAGAGUUAAAUCCUAAUGGCUCCAUAUUCUGUGUGCAGGCCCUAGCCUAUUGACCUCCACAGUUGAACAGUGAAGAGGCAGGAAGGACUGAGGCUGCAUUUGACCUGGCCCAUGGUGAAGUCCUGCACUGGAUAACAGUCACUGAGAAUACCUUGGGAAGGAAUAUGAAGGUGUCCUGAGGAGGCAGAUCUAGGAGUGCACUUUUCCUUUCUAGAAGGCUGUCAACAAAACUGAAACAGGACUCUGGAGACAUUCCUGUCUCCUAUGAUUUAGAUGAUGGAAACUAAGUGUACCAAAUAAUGAAGCUUCACUAAGAGCCUGGACAGAAGGUAGCUUCUGCACCAGGUGUCACUAAACCAGUCACAGAAUGCAGGGGAAACAACAUCAGGCCUUUGGCAUCAGGCUCUAGAGAGUACUGCUGUAAGGUCUAGUGAAAGAAUGCUGACAUAGGUGAACUGUCCUACCGUCCAGAAAUUACAGCUUUGACUGAGACAUUUAUAGUAACCAAAGUUUUGAUUAAUGCACAGCUCCAUGCCCCUGAGAAUGUGAUACCUCAGUCCAAAGGAGGGCAGACCUGGCUGAAUUGGACAGUGCCCAGAAUCUCCUGUGUGGAAGGCAAUAUGCAAGCACAGACCUAGGACAGUCACAGUGACCUCAGAGGAUUAGGAAAAGAAAGCACAAUCCUUAGUACAGCUGGAUCAAGAUACAUCCAGGUGCAAGGAAGACAUUUAGGAUGUCUGUUCUGUGAAUAUAAAUUUGAUCCUGGCAACUUGGUAGUCCUUAAUAAAACUAAAAUUCUGUCUUCUUUGGCCCUCUCCAAGUUUGCAGAACUGCCUUUGAUCCUGGUCCAUGCAUGGGUCAUAAAAAUCCACCCUUCCUUGAGGCAGAGACUUGCAACCAGACCCUGAAGAUGUGUGAAACCUCCUGGCGGCUGUGAUGCUGGUGAUGAUCCUGUUUAAGUGAGCCAUAGACUUCAUUAAAUCCACUGGUGCCACGGACCACUCAGACGGAGGAUACCACUGUGGGAGAAGGAGGGCUCUGGUACUCAGGAAGGCACAGGUUUGGUGCAAUGACAGACAGACAC
ensembl:lncRNA